rnacentral:tRNA from 4 species
GGGGACGUAGCUCAGUUGGUUAGAGCGCCGGCCUGUCACGUCGGAGGUCGCGGGUUCGAGCCCCGUCGUCCCCGCCA